CAAGUGGGCCUAAAAGCAGCCACCUUUUGAAAAGCGUUAAAGCUUGACAAUAACCUUAUCCCCAAUUUCAUAUUCCCCCACGAACCCUACCUAUAUUUAGUAUUGAGUAAUCUUAUAAAAUUAUAAGAGAUACAAUGUUAAAACUAGUAACAUGAAGCAGCCCUUCUCCCUAAUGCAAGCAAAUACCAAAAUGGACUAACCAUUGGUUCUUAACGUCCAUGAGCUCAACCUAGCAACACUCCCUUCGAAAACCCUAUGCCCAAAUUACGUUAACCUUACACUAGAGCAUUCCUGGAAAGAUAAAAAGAAAAAGAAGGAACUCGGCAAACUAAAAUCCCGCCUGUUUACCAAAAACAUCGCCUCUUGACAUAUACUCCCUCCUAUAAGAGGUCCAGCCUGCCCAGUGAAAUUUUAACGGCCGCGGUACUCUGACCGUGCGAAGGUAGCAUAAUCACUUGUUCUUUAAAUGAGGACUAGUAUCAACGGCAUCACGAGGAUUUUACUGUCUCCUUUUUCCUAUCGGUGAAACUGAUCUCCCCGUGAAGAAGCGGGGAUAAUAUUAUAAGACGAGAAGACCCCAUGGAGCUUUAAACCCAGUAACACCUCAAACACACCCCCUCCCAAAAAGUUUUAAUGUUCUGUUCACUGGUUUUAGGUUGGGGCGACCGCGGAGUACAACUUAACCUCCACAGCGCACGGAACUUAUUCCUUACCUGAGAGCUACACCUCAAAGAAUUAUCACAUUAACGUAAAAUGAUCCAAUAUUUUCCUUAUUGAUUAAUGAACCAAGUUACCCUGGGGAUAACAGCGCAAUCCAUUUCUAGAGCCCCUAUCGACAAAUGGGUUUACGACCUCGAUGUUGGAUCAGGGUAUCCCAGUGGUGCAGCCGCUACUAAUGGUUUGUUUGUUCAACAAUUAAAACCCUACGUGAUCUGAG
rnacentral:rRNA from 1 species